rnacentral:rRNA from 1 species
GACGAACGCUGGCGGCGUGCUUAACACAUGCAAGUCGAACGGAAAGGCCUCAGCUUGCUGGGGUACUCGAGUGGCGAACGGGUGAGUAACACGUGGGCGAUCUGCCUUGCACUCUGGGAUAAGCUUGGGAAACUGGGUCUAAUACCGGAUAUGAACUGCCUUUAGUGUGGUGGUUGGAAAGUUUUUUCGGUGCAAGAUGAGCUCGCGGCCUAUCAGCUUGUUGGUGGGGUAAUGGCCUACCAAGGCGUCGACGGGUAGCCGGCCUGAGAGGGUGUACGGCCACAUUGGGACUGAGAUACGGCCCAGACUCCUACGGGAGGCAGCAGUGGGGAAUAUUGCACAAUGGGCGGAAGCCUGAUGCAGCGACGCCGCGUGGGGGAUGACGGCCUUCGGGUUGUAAACUCCUUUCGACAGGGACGAAGCUUUUUGUGACGGUACCUGUAUAAGAAGCACCGGCUAACUACGUG